rnacentral:rRNA from 1 species
UAGUCCACGCCGUAAACGAUGGACACUAGCUGUUGGGAUUAAUCUCAGCGGCUAAGCGAAAGUGAUAAGUGUCCCACCUGGGGAGUACGAUCGCAAGAUUGAAACUCAAAGGAAUUGACGGGGGCCCGCACAAGCGGUGGAGCAUGUGGUUUAAUUCGAUGAUACGCGAGGAACCUUACCAGGGCUUAAAUGUAAUAUGACAGGACUAGAGAUAGUUUUUUCUUCGGACAUAUUACAAGGUGCUGCAUGGUUGUCGUCAGCUCGUGCCGUGAGGUGUCAGGUUAAGUCCUAUAACGAGCGCAACCCCUGCCGUUAGUUGCCAGCAUUUAAAGAUGGGGACUCUAGCGGGACUGCCGGUGCAAACCGAGAGGAAGGUGGGGAUGACGUCAAAUCAUCACGGCCCUUACGUCCUGGGCUACACACGUGCUACAAUGGUAGUGACAGAGAGCAGCUACUGCGCAAGCAGGUGCGAAUCUAUUAAACGCUAUCUCAGUUCGGA